rnacentral:tRNA from 1 species
GCCGAGGUGGCGGAAUCGGCAGACGCGUCGGACUCAAAAUCCGAUGAGCAUACGCUCAUGCGGGUUCGACCCCCGCCCUCGGCA